rnacentral:rRNA from 1 species
CGCGUAGGUGGCUAAUUAAGUCAAAUGUGAAAUCCCCGAGCUUAACUUGGGAAUUGCAUUCGAAACUGUUUAGCUAGAGUUCUGUAGAGGGGGGUAGAAUUCCAGGUGUAGCGGUGAAAUGCGUAGAGAUCUGGAGGAAUACCGAGUGCGAAGGCAGCCCCCUGGACAGUGACUGACGCUCAUAUGCGAAAGCGUGGGGAUCAAACAGGAUUAGAUACCCGAGUA